UACGUAGGGGGCAAGCGUUGUCCGGAUUUAUUGGGCGUAAAGAGCGUGUAGGCGGCUUUACAGGUCCGUUGUGAAAACUCGAGGCUCAACCUCGAGACGCCGGUGGAAACCGUAAGGCUAGAGUCCGGAAGAGGAGAGUGGAAUUCCUGGUGUAGCGGUGAAAUGCGCUGAUAUCAGGAAGAACACCGGUGGCGAAGGCGGGUCUCUGGGCAGUAACUGACGCUGAGGAGCGAAAGCGUGGGGAGCGAACAGG
rnacentral:rRNA from 1 species